ACUUUUAAAGGAUAAUAGACAUCCGC
rnacentral:tRNA from 1 species